CUUCUCUCUUCUUAUUUCUUCUUGUCUUCCCUGCUCUUUUCCAUGCUCUUUACUGUUCUUCAAUCGAGCGUUAGUUUGAGAAACAAAUCAAUGAUUAGGAGGUAGUAUAUAGGUAAGAUGGGUUGUAGUGAUUGAUGUUGAUGGUGUUGAAGUUAGUUUAAGCUUGGGAGAAGAAGAUUUUGAUGCUAUUGUAAUUGAUUUAGGGUUUUCUGGAGAGGAUUGAAUUUCUGAGAAUUUGAUGAUGAAACUGAGCAUUAGAUGAUGGGUUUUCACUGUUGUUGGCAAAGAAGAGAAAUUAGAGUUUGAUUCUCAAACUGUAGUGAUGAAUUACGUCUCAGUGAAUUAGGCCUCAUAUGAAGAACGCAUAGAUUAGAUAGAAGAUGAAAUUGAUGUUUUGGGGUAUUGAUAUGCGAUGGGUUUGGAAUUGAAUUAGAGUUUAAGGUUCAAGAAUAGUUUAUAUCUGAUAAUUAGGGUUUAUGCAUGUUGUGAUGGAGUUCAAAUUGGGCAAAGAUUGAGAAGAUUUAGAUAGAAUUAUAAGAUGGGUUUUGAUUGUUGAGAACAAGGAACAAGAAUUGAUAGUAACUCUCAAAUUCCAGUGAUGAAUUGAGGAAUUAGGGUUCCUGUUUUUUAUUGAAGUUAUGGAUUCAAUUUGAAUAAGAUGAAUCUAGUGGUAAGGUUCAAACAAGAGGCAUAUAUAUGAGGUAAUUGUCUUGUGUAUAUGAUGUUGAAGUAAGAUUGCUAUAUUUAUUGAAGUAUGGGUGUAACUGAUGUAUGUGAAAUUUGGAUAUUGAACUGUGAUUUGAAUAAUGGUGUUGAGUUGAUUAAACUGAAAUAAGAACUGUAGGUGAAGGUUUGUUCUGAUUCACAGGGAGUUGUAAUGAAAUUGGUGAAUGGGUAUUAUCUGAGUUAUGAAUUGGAUGAAUCUGUGGUUGUUAAGUUAUGAGAAUUGGUGGUAGUGGUGAUUCUGAAGUUUGAAUGUAACUAUCAAAUGGAGCCUGGUGUUAUGGUUAUUGCUGUGUAUGAAUGUGCAGGUGGACUAUAGUAAGUAGAUUAAUCUUACAUUUGAGGGUGAAGUUGUAUUGCGAUUGGAUCAGGUGUCAUGGUAUGGAAGAGGGUAUCUAAGGAUGGUGGUGUAGUCUGUGUAGUUUGAAUUUGCAGAUGGAGUGAACCGGUGACAGAAUCUGUGGUGUCGUAGCUACUAGUGGUGGUUGUACGUCGAAUUGUGAACAACAACUACAAGGAAUGGUUGAAGUUCUAUAUGAUGAAUGAUUAAGGAAAUGGAACUGGGAUGGUAUUGAAGAUGGAGUUAGAUUUAAACUGGUUAUGUAGUUGAAACUAAACUUGGUGGUGUAAAUAUAAUUUGAUGAUGGUGACAGUUAGCUGAAUGUGCAGGGAGUAGAGAAUGAUGUGUAUGAGUUCUGUAGAUGCAUUUGGUGUAUUGGACUAUAAGAUUUCCGAUCCAGCAAAAGAAGAUUAUGGUAAUUGAGUUUGAUAGUAAUGAUUGUUGAAGUGUAGGUAAGAAGAAGAAUCUGAAUUAGUUAUGUGGAAUUGAAUCUCCUCAGUGGAAGCUUGCAACUGCAUUUGCAGUUUCAGAGACAGAUCAGAGUUGCGCAACGAAAGCUCCAAGGGUUGAUUUCGUUAUUUGGUUAACUUCUGCUAUGUUAUUAUGUUGUAUAUUGUAUUUGUAAACCAAAUGACUAUUGUAUAUGUAUCAUCUGAAAGGAGUUCUUGUAUGUAUUUCAGAGAGGGGUUAAUUUUGGGUUAAAUUUUUAUAUCCGAUUUCUUAAUUGAAUGUUUAAGUAUUUGAUUUAGAUUCGUAGUGCCUCUUUA